rnacentral:rRNA from 1 species
CCUACGGGGGGCAGCAGUGAGGAAUAUUGGUCAAUGGCCGAGAGGCUGAACCAGCCAAGUCGCGUGAGGGAAGAAUGUCCUAUGGAUUGUAAACCUCUUUUGUCAGGGAGCAAAGUCACCCACGUGUGGGUGUUGGAGAGUACCUGAAGAAAAAGCAUCGGCUAACUCCGUGCCAGCAGCCGCGGUAAUACGGAGGAUUCGAGCGUUAUCCGGAUUUAUUGGGUUUAAAGGGUGCGUAGGCUGUCGGAUAAGUUAGAGGUCAAAUGUCGGGGCUUAACCCCGUGCCUGCCUCUGAUACUGUUCGA